GUCUGCUGUGGUUUGCUGGGGUGCUACUCCUGACCCUAGUUGCCUUAGUUUUUCCCGUACCUGGGGGUAUCACCAGUGAAGGCUGUAAAAAAGCAAAGAUGGCAGCCUGCCCCUUCCUCUGGAAGCUCUGUUCCAGGUGCCGUGGAAGUGUGGCCUGCAGAACAAUGCUGCUCAGCUCCCUGGAUUCUGACCACUUCCUAGGGUUGCCAUGGACACCUGGUUUCAAGUUAUGUUACCUGAGCAUGCCUAGAUACACUCGGCAUGCAACCACGGUGGAACCUAAGUACUUGGACCAAGGAGCAGGGCUGAUUUAAGAAGGAGACACCUCAGGGCUUAAUCUGUGAUCUGAUCAGAUCCAGCCCUGACAUCACCUCAUGGCACGAUGCAGUCAGAUCGCACCUCAUUAUCCUCUGUCUAUAAAACCUGCCCCAACCCCCAGAUCUGAGAGACAAAUUUGAACAUUUCUCCCAUCUACUUCCUAGUCGACUAAAAAUAAACCUUUCCCUCU